CAAGGAAUAGUUUAAUAAAAUAUUAAUUUUGGAGAUUAAAGAUGGGAGAAUUUCUUUCCUUGA
rnacentral:tRNA from 1 species